ACAGUGUUGCCUUGUGGCGUGGAGUUCAAGCAGCAUUGUACAGGGCUAUCAAAGCAUAGA
rnacentral:miRNA from 1 species